GGGGACAAUGAUGGGAGACAAAUGCGCUCUGUACCAUUUUCCAUAGUAAGAUAACAUAUGCUUUGACACAUAUUAUGAGCACAUUUUCUAUGAUUCAAUAAAUAAACCAAUUAACUACGGUACUGUAUCCAGUGCUCCUGAUAGAACAAUUGGUGGUUCUGAAAAACAGCACCCAGAAAUGAUAAAGGUGUUGAAUCAGUUUCAACAAUGUCAGGGCAUUACUGGCAGCAAAAAAAUGGAAAUAUUUUUAAGCUGCAAAGCGGAUCCCUUUCAUUUUUGCACUUCUAAGAUUAGGCCGCCGAUGAUUGAAUAGCCAUGGAGCCUCAGUACUAGUGCAGUAACAGAAGAUCUGUGAUAAAAAAAAAAAAAAAAUCCAGCAUAAAAGUUCCAAGAAUAAUCAAGGAAAAGAGUAAAACCAAUUUCAACAUUCAACACUGAAUUUCGCC
rnacentral:misc_RNA from 1 species